GCCGCUGAGCUUGGACCCCGACCAGAAGAUAGAGAUUGAAACGAUGAGGAAAACGAAGUGCCUAAUCCCCGCUGGACGCUAACUGCAGGGCAAGCUCCCCAGUGUUGUAGUUGUGUUUCGGAGGCCGAGAACCGCUAUCGGGCUUCCUCGGACUCUGGCCCUGGAGGGGGGAAACGGCGAGGGAGAAGGCGAAACGAGUCUCCAGUGUGUUCUUGGGGCCUGGUGCGAGGCCCAGAGAAUUCUCUGCAGGCCUUUGCCCGGGCACUGAUUAAGGCUGCGAAGAGACGCACCGGGCUGCGGGCUUAGUAGCUUCAGGCUUCUGAAGUCAGAGGGAGGGCUGAGAGCUUACACUUCUGGAGCUCCCCGGGAGACGGCAACUACCCAACCGUCACCCAGAAAUACUCUCCACACCAUGCUGCACUGCUGCGGAUGAGGGAAGGAUGGUGUCGGGGCUUCAAGACUGUUUUUCCUACCUCUUCAGUGCCUCUUUCAGUGAUAUGAAGUUAAAACCAGGAACAUGGAGGAGACAUAUUUCCACCUAUUUCUCUCCAUAAGUAUAAAAGACCAUAAAAGACCAUCUAGGGACUUCAGAACCCAAAUAAUGACACAAUGUUAAUUUGCAGGUUCUCCCUCUGCCUGCCACCCCACCCAGCAAGGAGGAGAGGAAGUGUUGAGAAGGGAAGAGAUGAGUCCUGGCCCUGUCACUUCUUAGGGGUGUGCUUUUGAACAACCUGCUCACCAUGUAUGAACUUCACUCUUCUUGUUUAUAAAAUGAGGACAAUGACACCUGCAAGACUGUGAGGUUUAAAAACAAAAUCUGUGUUGAGAGGUAACUUGCCUCUUUUACUUACCAAUGAUUUCCUCAAUGCCUGGUGACUGGGGCUGGUUCAUACUAGACGAUCAAUAAAUGCUCCUUGAAUGAAUAGGUGGAUGAAAGAAAUGUCUGGCAUCUAUCACAGGUGCUGGCACUGAUAAGUGCUUGAUAAAUAGGCUGGCUGACUGUGAGUGAUGCUGACGGGCAAAGGACAGAGACACCAGGAAGGAGAACAGGACACGAAAGAUAACUGUCUCAGCCCUUGGGGAGUUUCUGACCCAGGAGGAUGGGAACAUCAAUUAUCAAUAGUUACAGAUCAUUAAAUAAUUGCAAGUGUGAGGCGCACUAUAAAGAGGAGGCUCAGAGUCCCCGCAUGCUCACACUCACACCUGGCCACAGACAGGUGACACCCCUGGCUUGCCCAGGCCAGCGGGUCUGCAAUGAGGCCAAGGACCUGGGCUCUUGAGAAGUUUUAAGUUUGAAAACAUUGCUUUUUAAGCUUAAAACAAUGAACCUUAAUAAAAGUAAAC
rnacentral:lncRNA from 10 species